GAUGAACGCUGGCGGCGUGCCUAAUACAUGCAAGUCGAACGCUGAAGGAGGAGCUUGCUCUUCUGGAUGAGUUGCGAACGGGUGAGUAACGCGUAGGUAACCUGCCUGGUAGCGGGGGAUAACUAUUGGAAACGAUAGCUAAUACCGCAUGACAACAGUUAUUGCAUGAUAACUGUUUAAAAGGGGCAACUGCUCCACUACCAGAUGGACCUGCGUUGUAUUAGCUAGUUGGUGAGGUAACGGCUCACCAAGGCGACGAUACAUAGCCGACCUGAGAGGGUGAUCGGCCACACUGGGACUGAGACACGGCCCAGACUCCUACGGGAGGCAGCAGUAGGGAAUCUUCGGCAAUGGACGGAAGUCUGACCGAGCAACGCCGCGUGAGUGAAGAAGGUUUUCGGAUCGUAAAGCUCUGUUGUAAGAGAAGAACGAGUGUGAGAGUGGAAAGCUCACACUGUGACGGUAUCUUACCAGAAAGGGACGGCUAACUACGUG
rnacentral:rRNA from 1 species